rnacentral:rRNA from 1 species
CCUACGGGUGGCUGCAGUGGGGAAUAUUGCACAAUGGGGGCAACCCUGAUGCAGCGACGCCGCGUGAAGGAAGAAGUAUUUCGGUAUGUAAACUUCUAUCAGCAGGGAAGAAAAUGCCGGUACCUGACUCAGAAGCCCCGGCUAACUACGUGCCAGCAGCCGCGGCACUACGUCGUGGGCAAGCGUUAUCCGGAUUUACUGGGUGUAAAGGGAGCGUAGACGGCGCUGCAAGUCCGGAGUGAAAGCACAUGGCUUAACCAUGGUACUGCUCUGGAAACUGUAGAGCUUGAGUGCGGGAGGGGCAUGCGGAAUUCCUAGUGUAGCGGUGAAAUGCGAAGAUAUACGGAGGAACACCAGUGGCGAAGGCGGCCUGCUGGACAUUAACUGACGCUGAGGCGCGAAAGCGUGGGUAGCAAACAGGAUUAGAUACCCGAGUAGUC